rnacentral:rRNA from 1 species
GAUGAACGCUGGCGGCGUGCCUAAUACAUGCAAGUCGAGCGAACAGACGAGGAGCUUGCUCCUCUGACGUUAGCGGCGGACGGGUGAGUAACACGUGGAUAACCUACCUAUAAGACUGGGAUAACUUCGGGAAACCGGAGCUAAUACCGGAUAAUAUAUUGAACCGCAUGGUUCAAUAGUGAAAGACGGUUUUGCUGUCACUUAUAGAUGGAUCCGCGCCGCAUUAGCUAGUUGGUAAGGUAACGGCUUACCAAGGCAACGAUGCGUAGCGGACCUGAGAGGAGGAGCGGCCACACGGGAACGGAGACACGGUCCGGACGCCGACGGAAGGCAGAAGUGGGGAAUAUUGAACAAUGGGCGCAAGCCUGAUCCAGCUAUACCGAGUGAAAGAAAAAGGACUUCGGGUUGUAAAACCCUUUGGUGGUAAAAGAAAAGCAGCACAGUAAUACCCCGCUGUUCUGACGGGACCCAAACAGCAAGCAACGGCGAACUUCGUG